rnacentral:rRNA from 1 species
AGUGAACGCUGGCGGCGUGCUUAACACAUGCAAGUCGAACGGGAACGGAAUAUAGCUUGCUAUAUUUGUCAGCUAAGUGGCGCACGGGUGAGUAAUGUAUAGAUAACCUGCCCUUAAGAAAGGAAUAACAGUUGGAAACGACUGCUAAUGCCCUAUAUGCCUUUAAUACAUAAGUAUGCAAGGGAAACGCUUUAGUGCUUAAGGAUGGGUCUGUAUGGUAUCAGCUUGUUGGUGAGGUAAUGGCUCACCAAGGCUAUGACGCCUAACUGGUUUGAGAGGAUGAUCAGUCACACUGGAACUGAGACACGGUCCAGACUCCUACGGGAGGCAGCAGUGGGGAAUAUUGCACAAUGGACGAAAGUCUGAUGCAGCAACGCCGCGUGGAGGAUGACACAUUUCGGUGCGUAAACUCCUUUUAUAUAGGAAGAUAAUGACGGUACUAUAUGAAUAAGCACCGGCUAACUCCGUGCCGGCCGCCGCAGUAA